CCAGACUCCUACGGGAGGCAGCAGUGGGGAAUAUUGCACAAUGGGGGAAACCCUGAUGCAGCGACGCCGCGUGAGUGAAGAAGUAAUUCGUUAUGUAAAGCUCUAUCAGCAGGGAAGAAAAACCGACCUUAGGGUCGCUAGACGGUACCUGAUUAAGAAGCCCCGGCUAACUACGUGCCAGCAGCCGCGGUAAUACGUAGGGGGCGAGCGUUAUCCGGAUUCACUGGGCGUAAAGGGAGCGCAGGCGGCACGGCAAGUCCGGUGUGAAAGCCCGGGGCCCAACCCCGGGACUGCACUGGAAACUGCCGGGCUGGAGUGUCGGAGGGGCAGGCGGAAUUCCUAGUGUAGCGGUGAAAUGCGUAGAUAUUAGGAGGAACACCGGUGGCGAAGGCGGCCUACUGGACGACGACUGACGCUGAGGCUCGAAAGCGUGGGGAGCAAACAGGAUUAGAUACCCUGGUAAA
rnacentral:rRNA from 1 species